AGCGAACGCUGGCGGCAGGCCUAACACAUGCAAGUCGAACGAAGUCUUCGGACUUAGUGGCGGACGGGUGAGUAACACGUGGGAACGUGCCUUUAGGUUCGGAAUAACUCAGGGAAACUUGUGCUAAUACCGAAUGUGCCCUUCGGGGGAAAGAUUUAUAGCCUUUAGAGCGGCCCGCGUCUGAUUGGCUAGUUUGUUGGGGUAAUUGCCCACCACGGCGACGAUCAGUAGCUUGGCUGAGAGGAUGACCAGCCACAUUGGGACUGAGACACGGCCCUAACUCAUGCGGGAGGCAGCAUUGGGGAAUCUAGCGCAAUGGGCGAAAGCCUGACGCAGCCAUGGCGCGUGUAUGAUGAAGGUCAUAGGAUUGUAAAAUACUUUCACCGGUGAAGAUAAUGACGGUACCCGGAGAAGAAGCCCCGGCUAACUUCGUGCCAGCCGCCGCCGUAAGAC
rnacentral:rRNA from 1 species